AAAAGUUGUCUGGUUUAAGGGCGAGGGAAGUCCGUGAAAAUCGGACACAGCCCCCGCUACUGUGAUCGGUGACGACUUCCAGAUCGUGCCACUGCCCUUUUGAAGGGUGGGAAGGCCUGGAAGGAGGAUGACCCGAGAGUCAGGAGACCUCCCCUUAAGCCAUUCAACCC
rnacentral:ncRNA from 2 species